rnacentral:lncRNA from 1 species
UCAGGCUCUCAAAGCCAAAGUCCAGUAAUCGACUCAAACUGGUCUCACAACCAAUAGGUAACUUGCCCUCGGCACAAUCCGACGUCAAAAAGGCGAUACGGGUCGACCGUCAAUCCCGACGGCACCCAACAGUCCGGAACAGCCUGAACGCUACUGUAAAAAUACACCCGGCACCCCAGCACGAGCGUAACUGAAAACUAAACUAUCUGGAAUACUCACUAUGAGGAUACUGUAACAGUAUAAAAUAAUACAACGGCCCCUAGGGCUAAAUCAGGUAGUUAAGCAUAUGACGAUCAUAAUCGCGAGUUUUCUCCUAAGUCUCAUCC